GAUGAACGCUGGCGGCGUGCCAAAUACAUGCAAGUCGAGCGAACAGACGAGGAGCUUGCUCCUCUGACGUUAGCGGCGGACGGGUGAGUAACACGUGGAUAACCUACCUAUAAGACUGGGAUAACUUCGGGAAACCGGAGCUAAUACCGGAUAAUAUAUUGAACCGCAUGGUUCAAUAGUGAAAGACGGUUUUGCUGUCACUUAUAGAUGGAUCCGCGCCGCAUUAGCUAGUUGGUAAGGUAACGGCUUACCAAGGCAACGAUGCGUAGCCGACCUGAGAGGGUGAUCGGCCACACUGGAACUGAGACACGGUCCAGACUCCUACGGGAGGCAGCAGUAGGGAAUCUUCCGCAAUGGGCGAAAGCCUGACGGAGCAACGCCGCGUGAGUGAUGAAGGUCUUCGGAUCGUAAAACUCUGUUUUUAGGGAAGAACAAAUGUGUAAGUAACUAUGCACGUCUUGACGGUACCUAAUCAGAAAGCCACGGCUAACUACGUG
rnacentral:rRNA from 1 species